rnacentral:rRNA from 1 species
UACAGAGGUCUCAAGCGUUGUUCGGAUUCAUUGGGCGUAAAGGGUGCGUAGGUGGCGGGGUAAGUCAGGGGUGAAAUCUCGAGGCUCAACCUCGAAACUGCACUUGAUACUGCCUUGCUCGAGUACUGGAGAGGAGAUUGGAAUUUACGGUGUAGCAGUGAAAUGCGUAGAUAUCGUAAGGAAGACCAGUGGCGAAGGCGAAUCUCUGGACAGUUACUGACACUGAGGCACGAAGGCCAGGGGAGCAAACGGG